rnacentral:lncRNA from 1 species
UUGAGUUGACAGGUGAAGCAGUACUUUCAUGUGAAGGUGUGGCCAAUCAAUCGACCUUGGUAAUCCAGCAAAAACCAAAGGUAGCAACAAAUGAGAGUCAUGGAAGAUCUUAGAGGUAUUGUGGUACGUGAAAAGUUUUUCUUUCAUUUGAGGGUGACAUGAGUUCUUUGUUCUUAAAUUUGCUUGAGGAUAAGCAGCAAAUAAAGUUUG